AACGUAGGAGACAAACGUUAUCCGGAGUUACUGGGCGUAAAGGGCGUGCAGGUGGUCUGUUAAGUCUGGCGUGAAAGCUCUCGGCUAAACCGGGAGAGGUCGUUGGAUACUGGCGGACUAGAGGACGGUAGAGGCGUGUGGAAUUCCGGGUGUAGUGGUGAAAUGUGUAGAGAUCCGGAGGAACACCAGUGGCGAAGGCGGCUCACUGGACUGGUAUUGACGCUGAUGUGCGAAAGCGUGGGGAGCAAACAGG
rnacentral:rRNA from 1 species